ensembl:snoRNA
UUGAUGCAAUGAUGACUGCAUAGUUCAGCAGAUUACACAAUGAAGAACACAUUUUGUCUUUCGCUCCUAUCUGACGCAUCGG